rnacentral:rRNA from 1 species
UGAGUGAGAAUGCCGGAAUGAGUAGCGAGAAUUAUGUGGGAAUCAUAACGGCCGAAAAUCUAAGGUUUCUUGGGGAAGGUUCGUCCGCCCAAGGUAAGCCGGGAGCUAAGGCGAGGCCGCAAGGCGUAGUCGAUGCACAUACGGUAGAAAUUCCGUAGCCACCGAACCUUAAACCGGAAGGACACUUUCAGAUAGCAGAACCCAGCCGUUGGUAGAGCUGGGCGAAAGGGACUGAAAUAUAGUAGGGAAGUCUGCGAUGCUGAGAGGCGAGAAAAGCUCCGGUGUAUGCUAAGGUGCCCGUACCGCAAACCGACACAGGUAGAUGAGGAGAGAAUCCUAAGGCCAACGGGAGAAGGGUUGUUAAGGAACUCGGCAAAUUGACCCCGUAACUUCGGAAGAAGGGGAGCCCCGAAAGGGGCCGCAGUGAAUAGGCCCAAGCAACUGUUUACCAAAAACACAGGUUUAUGCUAAAUCGAAAGAUGACGUAUAUGAGCUGACGCCUGCCCGGUGCCGGAAGGUUAAGAGGAGAUGUCAGGAGCAAUCCGAAGCAUUGAAUUGAAGCCCCGGUAAACGGCGGCCGUAACGAUAACGGUCCUAAGGUAGCGAAAUUCCUUGUCAGGUAAGUUCUGACCCGCACGAAUGGCGUAAUGAUUUGGGCACUGUCUCAACAGCCCGCCCGGCGAAAUUGUAGUACUGGUGAAGAUGCCAGUUACCCGCAACUAGACGGAAAGACCCCAUGGAGCUUUACUGCAGUUUAAUACUGGGAAUCGGUAAUGCAUGUACAGGAUAGGUGGGAGACUUGGAAGCAUAGUCGUCAGGCUAUGUGGAGUCACCGGUGGGAUACCACUCUUGUAUUGCUGGUUUCCUAACCUGCGGCCGUGAAUCCGGUCGGGGGACACUGUUAGACGGGCAGUUUGACUGGGGCGGUCGCCUCCAAAAGAGUAACGGAGGCGCUCAAAGGUUUGUUCAGCACGGACGGAAAUCGUGCAUUGAGUGUAAACGCAUAAACGAGCCUAACUGCGAGACCGACGGGUCGAGCAGUAACGAAAGUUGGAGUUAGUGAUCCGGUGGUAUGUGAGUGGAAAUGCCAUCGCUCAACGGAUAAAAGCUACCCUGGGAUAACAGGCUGAUCUCCCCCAAGCGUCCACAGCGACGGGGAGGUUUGGCACCUCGAUGUCGGCUCGUCGCAUCCUGGGGCUGUAUUCGGUCCCAAGGGUUUGGCUGUUCGCCAAUUAAAGCGGCACGCGAGCUGGGUUCAGAACGUCGUGAGACAGUUCGGUCCCUAUCUGUUGCGGGCGUAAGAGAUUUGAAGGGAGCUGUCCUUAGUACGAGAGGACCGGGAUGGACGUACCUCUGGUGCACCAGUUGUCCUGCCAAGGGCAUAGCUGGGUAGCUAUGUACGGACGAGAUAAACGCUGAAAGCAUCUAAGCGUGAAACUCUCCCUAAGAUGAGAUCUCUCAUCCUUUAUGGAGUAAGGGCCCAGAAAGACGAUCUGGUUGAUAGGCCGGAGGUGGAAGUGCAGUAAUGUAUGCAGCUGACCGGUACUAAUAGCCCGAGGGCUUGAUC